UGGGGAAUAUUGGACAAUGGGCGCAAGCCUGAUCCAGCAAUGCCGCGUGAGUGAUGAAGGCCCUAGGGUUGUAAAGCUCUUUUACCCGGGAUGAUAAUGACAGUACCGGGAGAAUAAGCUCCGGCUAACUCCGUGCCAGCAGCCGCGGUAAUACGGAGGGAGCUAGCGUUGUUCGGAAUUACUGGGCGUAAAGCGCGCGUAGGCGGUCCAUCAAGUCAGAGGUGAAAGCCCGGGGCUCAACCCCGGAACUGCCUUUGAAACUGGCGGACUGGAAUCUUGGAGAGGCGAGUGGAAUUCCGAGUGUAGAGGUGAAAUUCGUAGAUAUUCGGAAGAACACCAGUGGCGAAGGCGACUCGCUGGACAAGUAUUGACGCUGAGGUGCGAAAGCGUGGGGAGCAAACAGGAUUAGAUACCCCGGUAGUCC
rnacentral:rRNA from 1 species